rnacentral:rRNA from 1 species
AUUGAACGCUGGCGGCAGGCUUAACACAUGCAAGUCGAGCGGGGGUGAUGGUGCUUGCACUAUCACUUAGCGGCGGACGGGUGAGUAAUGCUUAGGAAUCUGCCUAUUAGUGGGGGACAACAUCUCGAAAGGGAUGCUAAUACCGCAUACGUCCUACGGGAGAAAGCAGGGGAUCACUUGUGACCUUGCGCUAACAGAUGAGCCUAAGUCGGAUUAGCUAGUUGGUGGGGUAAAGGCCUACCAAGGCGACGAUCUGUAGCGGGUCUGAGAGGAUGAUCCGCCACACUGGGACUGAGACACGGCCCAGACUCCUACGGGAGGCAGCAGUGGGGAAUAUUGGACAAUGGGGGGAACCCUGAUCCAGCCAUGCCGCGUGUGUGAAGAAGGCCUUAUGGUUGUAAAGCACUUUAAGCGAGGAGGAGGCUCUUUUGGUUAAUACCCAAGAUGAGUGGACGUUACUCGCAGAAUAAGCACCGGCUAACUCUGUGCCAGCCGCCGCGGUAA